CUAUUCGUCUCUGUCUUUCCCAGGUGUAUCUAAAGCUGUGAGGUGAGAGAAUGAAAUAUUUGUGGGAUGAUGACUUGUCGUUCUGUGCUUCUUUUUUAUCUAGCCCAAGUUCUCCAUCAAAGGAUCAGAAACAAGCUUUGAGAAAAAGAAGAAACAGGCUCUGUUUGUUCCAGAGUGACUGUUUAGAGUGACUCCAGCUUAAGGAAUUGCCGAUCUGGUCAUCACAUUAAAGAAAGGCAGCCUAUUAAGGUAUACUUUAUGUAACUUUGUGUGUGUUAGUCGCUCAGUCCUGUCUCUUAUUGACCUCAUGAACUGUAGCCUGCCAGAUUCCUCUGUCC
rnacentral:lncRNA from 1 species